UAGGGAAUCUUCGGCAAUGGACGAAAGUCUGACCGAGCAACGCCGCGUGAGUGAAGAAGGUUUUCGGAUCGUAAAACUCUGUUGUUAGAGAAGAACAAGGACGUUAGUAACUGAACGUCCCCUGACGGUAUCUAACCAGAAAGCCACGGCUAACUACGUGCCAGCAGCCGCGGUAAUACGUAGGUGGCAAGCGUUGUCCGGAUUUAUUGGGCGUAAAGCGAGCGCAGGCGGUUUCUUAAGUCUGAUGUGAAAGCCCCCGGCUCAACCGGGGAGGGUCAUUGGAAACUGGGAGACUUGAGUGCAGAAGAGGAGAGUGGAAUUCCAUGUGUAGCGGUGAAAUGCGUAGAUAUAUGGAGGAACACCAGUGGCGAAGGCGGCUCUCUGGUCUGUAACUGACGCUGAGGCUCGAAAGCGUGGGGAGCCAACAGG
rnacentral:rRNA from 1 species